rnacentral:rRNA from 1 species
UACGUAGGGUGCAAGCGUUGUCCGGAAUUAUUGGGCGUAAAGAGCUCGUAGGCGGUCUGUCGCGUCUGGUGUGAAAAUCCAGGGCUUAACCCUGGACCUGCAUCGGGUACGGGCAGACUAGAGUGCGGUAGGGGAGAUCGGAAUUCCUGGUGUGGCGGUGAAAUGCGCAGAUAUCAGGAGGAACACCGGUGGCGAAGGCGGAUCUCUGGGCCGUAACUGACGCUGAGGAGCGAAAGCAUGGGGAGCGAACAGG